UAGUCGGCCGGCCAAGGUGGCAAAAAGUGCCUCUAAAGAGAGUUGAUGGCAACUUUAUGUUAGAAGCUGGUAACAGGCAUUUUCUUAUAGUUUAAAUCUUGGUGAACAAGACUGUGUGUGUUACCACUUCUGAUUUUUGCUUUAUAGCCGAAAAUUUGAGAAUUUUUAAAUUUUGCCUAUUAAAUUACUAUGAUGGCAAAAAAUGUAAAACCUCAUUUUCUCUUAAACGAAAAAUAAAUUAUACCACUAGAAAGAGCGCAAAAAAUUAUAUAUAAGACAAUUAAGCGACUAAUGCGAUUUUUCAAGCCGAUUUUGAAUUAAAGAUGGUUAAAGUUGGCAAAAUGGGUACUUAUUAGCAUUAAUUUGGUCAUUUCCGCAUUUUUUUAGCAUUAAAAACUCGAAAUAGGAUUGGAAAAACUAGAAAUCGCUUAAUUGUCUUACAGAUAGUUUUU